UUGGUUAAGUUAGAAAGGGCGCACGGUGGAUGCCUUGGCACUAGGAGCCGAAGAAGGACGGGACUAACACCGAUAUGCUUUGGGGAGCUGUACGUAAGCGUUGAUCCAGAGAUUUCCGAAUGGGGGAACCCACUAUCUUUAGUCGGAUAGUAUCCUUACGUGAAUACAUAGCGUAAGGAAGGCAGACCCAGGGAACUGAAACAUCUAAGUACCUGGAGGAAGAGAAAGAAAAAUCGAUUUCCUGAGUAGCGGCGAGCGAAACGGAAAGAGCCCAAACCAAGAAGCUUGCUUCUUGGGGUUGUAGGACACUCUAUACGGAGUUACAAAAGAAAGUUAUAAAUGAAGCGGUCUGGAAAGGCCCGCCAAAGACGGUAACAGCCCGGUAGUUGAAAUGGCUUUCCCUCCAGAGUGGAUCCUGAGUACGGCGGAACACGUGAAAUUCCGUCGGAAUCCGGGAGGACCAUCUCCCAAGGCUAAAUACUCCCUAGUGACCGAUAGUGAACCAGUACCGUGAGGGAAAGGUGAAAAGCACCCCGGAAGGGGAGUGAAACAGUUCCUGAAACCGUGUGCCUACAAGUAGUUAGAGCCCGUUAAUGGGUGAUAGCGUGCCUUUUGUAGAAUGAACCGGCGAGUUACGAUUUGUUGCAAGGUUAAGCGGAAAAAGCGGAGCCGUAGCGAAAGCGAGUCUGAAUAGGGCGCAUAAGUAACAGGUCGUAGACCCGAAACCAGGUGAUCUACCCAUGUCCAGGAUGAAGGUAAGGUAAUACUUACUGGAGGUCCGAACCCACGCACGUUGAAAAGUGCGGGGAUGAGGUGUGGGUAGCGGAGAAAUUCCAAUCGAACUUGGAGAUAGCUGGUUCUCUCCGAAAUAGCUUUAGGGCUAGCCUCGAGGUAAAGAGUCAUGGAGGUAGAGCACUGUUUGGACUAGGGGCCCUUCUCGGGUUACCGAAUUCAGAUAAACUCCGAAUGCCAUGUACUUAUACUCGGGAGUCAGACUGCGAGUGAUAAGAUCCGUAGUCGAAAGGGAAACAGCCCAGACCACCAGUUAAGGUCCCCAAAUAUAUGUUAAGUGGAAAAGGAUGUGGGGUUGCUUAGACAACCAGGAUGUUGGCUUAGAAGCAGCCACCAUUGAAAGAGUGCGUAAUAGCUCACUGGUCGAGUGACCCCGCGCCGAAAAUGUACCGGGGCUAAACAUAUUACCGAAACUGUGGAUGAACCUCUUCGGAGGUUCGUGGUAGGAGAGCGUUCUAAGGGCGGUGAAGUCAGACCGGAAGGACUGGUGGAGCGCUUAGAAGUGAGAAUGCCGGUAUGAGUAGCGAAAGAAGGGUGAGAAUCCCUUCCACCGAAUAUCUAAGGUUUCCUGAGGAAGGCUCGUCCGCUCAGGGUUAGUCGGGACCUAAGCCGAGGCCGAUAGGCGUAGGCGAUGGACAACAGGUAGAGAUUCCUGUACCAGUGCUAAUUGUUUAACCGAUGGGGUGACACAGAAGGAUAGGGAAUCGCACGAAUGGAAAUGUGCGUCCAAGCAGUGAGUGUGAGAAGUAGGCAAAUCCGCUUCUCGCGAAGCAUGAGCUGUGAUGGGGAAGGAAAUUAAGUACGGAAGUUCCUGAUUUCACGCUGUCAAGAAAAGCCUCUAGGAAGAGUAGUACUGCCCGUACCGCAAACCGACACAGGUAGAUGAGGAGAGAAUCCUAAGGUGAGCGAGAGAACUCUCGUUAAGGAACUCGGCAAAAUGACCCCGUAACUUCGGGAGAAGGGGUGCUCUAUUAGGGUGCAAGCCCGAGAGAGCCGCAGUGAAUAGGCCCAGGCGACUGUUUAGCAAAAACACAGGUCUCUGCAAAACCGUAAGGUGACGUAUAGGGGCUGACGCCUGCCCGGUGCUGGAAGGUUAAGAGGAGUGCUUAGCUUCGGCGAAGGUACGAAUUGAAGCCCCAGUAAACGGCGGCCGUAACUAUAACGGUCCUAAGGUAGCGAAAUUCCUUGUCGGGUAAGUUCCGACCCGCACGAAAGGCGCAACGAUCUGGGCACUGUCUCAACGAGAGACUCGGUGAAAUUAUAGUACCUGUGAAGAUGCAGGUUACCCGCGACAGGACGGAAAGACCCCGUGGAGCUUUACUGCAACCUGAUAUGGAAUGUUUGUACCGCUUGUACAGGAUAGGUAGGAGCCGAAGAGACGUGUGCGCUAGCAUACGAGGAGGCAAUGGUGGGAUACUACCCUGGCUGUAUGACCAUUCUAACCCGCCACGCUUAGCGCGUGGGGAGACAGUGUCAGGUGGGCAGUUUGACUGGGGCGGUCGCCUCCUAAAGAGUAACGGAGGCGCCCAAAGGUUCCCUCAGAAUGGAUGGAAAUCAUU
rnacentral:rRNA from 1 species